rnacentral:misc_RNA from 1 species
GAAAUGCGAUAAGUAAUGUGAAUUGCAGAAUUCCGUGAAUCAUCGAAUCUUUGAACGCACAUUGCGCCCUCUGGUAUUCCGGGGGGCAUGCCUGUCCGAGCGUCAUUGCUAACCCCUCAAGCACGGCUUGUGUGAUGGGCCCUCCCGCGUCUUGGUCGUCAAGACGGGCCCGAAAAGCAGUGGCGGCUUCGCGGUUAUCCGAUCAGCCAGAGCGUAUGGGGACUUUCUCUCUGUCACACGCCCGCGGCGCGGACCGACGCCUGUCGACCUUUAUUCAUCUUUUUCUCGGUUGACCUCGGAUCAGGUAGGGAUACCCGCUGAACUUAAGC